rnacentral:tRNA from 1 species
CCCUGGGUGGCUCAGUGGGUUGAGUGUCUGACUUUGGCUCAGGUCACGAUCUGACUGUUCAUGAGUUCGAGCCCCAAUUCAGGGU